rnacentral:piRNA from 1 species
UAAAUGUAGAACCACGUUCAGUGCCAACCAG